AAGAGCAAGCUCAGUGUUUCCUUCAAGCAGCAUCGUGGACAGAUUCCUGCCAGACCCUUCAGAGCAAGCACCCCACACCCCUAGCCCAGGGUCUCUUCAUCGAUAGGGGGUGAUCUGUCUGCCCCUCACUGUUUUCUCCAAAUAGGCCCCCAAAGGCUCUGCGCAGACCAGCACUGUCUCCUCCUUCAUCCACAGAGAGGAUGAAAGAACAUGGCAAGAGGAAGACUCACAGAACCCCACAGAGAAGCUUUGAGAAUUGGGCUGUCUGGCUCUCCCAUCACCCAUUUGGCCACCAGCUUUGGUCCCAGCUGCUGUGCCCUCGGGGGAUGCAUUAUGGCCCUGAAAGGGGCCCUUGUCCCUUUUUGGGGUGUCAUCCUGGCUGGGUGGUAUGGAUUUCUGCUGUAAACAUGGCCCAUCUGGGAGAAGCCCAGGUGCCACGUUUUGAACAGCUCUGAAACUUAAAGCUCAGAAGGCUUUGAAAUGCAAAUAUUUUGAAGGAAACAUAAGGUUCCUUGAAUUUCUACGUGAAUUUUAGGAUCAGCUUGUCCAUUUCUGCAAAGAA
ensembl:lncRNA LINC00595 long intergenic non-protein coding RNA 595